rnacentral:rRNA from 1 species
UACGUAGGGGGCGAGCGUUGUCCGGAGUUACUGGGCGUAAAGCGCACGCAGGCGGUCUGCUAAGUUUGGAGUGACAGUUGGUGGCUUAACUGCCAAAGUGCUUCGAAAACUGACAGACUUGAGGGCUUCAGAGGGACACGGAAUUCCGGGUGGAGUGGUGAAAUGCGUAGAGAUCCGGAGGAACACCAAAGGCGAAGGCAGUGUCCUGGGGAGUACCUGACGCUCAGGCGCGACAGCGUGGGGAUCAAACAGG